AGCGCAGGCGGGAAGACAAGUUGGAAGUGAAAACCAUGGGCUCAACCCAUGAAUUGCUUUCAAAACUGUUUUUCUUGAGUAGUGCAGAGGUAGAUGGAAUUCCCGGUGUAGCGGUGGAAUGCGUAGAUAUCGGGAGGAACACCAGUGGCGAAGGCGGUCUAUUGGGCACCAACUGACGCUGAGGCUCGAAAGCAUGGGUAGCAAACA
rnacentral:rRNA from 1 species